UCUGAAUCUGCGAACGGCUCCGCAAACCAGUUGUAAACUAUAGCAAGCAGGCUCGUUGCCGGCCUUCACGGGUUGGCUUCGGGCGAUAUGGAUAACCCUGGUAAUUCUGAGGCUAAUACAUGAACGUAAAACCUGGUAGACUGGGCUUCGGCUCGGGAAGCUGGGGGAUGUGUGAUUGCAGGCUUGGGUAACACCGGGAAAGGGCGCACGUCCAGACCGCGCUAUAAAGGAUGGGACCCCUUCGGGGGACCUACCCCAGCGGCUCUUGCUGUGUGCUUCUGACCUAUCAACUAGACGGCAGCAUAAGGGACAUGCUAUGGU
rnacentral:rRNA from 1 species